UUAUAACAAUUUCUUACCUCUACUCAUUGAGACAUUUCAUCAAACAGUUGGUCUGCGUUGAAACCCUGGCCCCGGAUCCUCGUCACAAGGACUAACAUUAACCCCAGUAACAACCGCAGACGGGGGCCCUCUACGACACCGCUCCUGCAUCUCCCCAACCUUAUCAACACUCCCAGAAAACAAGACUUCAACGGAUCCAUCUCUUCGGUUCCUAACCCAGCCUUUCAAACCCAAUUCAGUAGCGUUCUGCACAGUCCAGUCCCGGUAAAACACCCCCUGCACUCUCCCCUUAAUCUCGACCUUCACCUGCAAUCAAUUAACAAGAAAUGGGUUACAAAUGUGAAGACGACUGGAUGAAUUGGAGGGAGAUUUGAGUUACCGUUUUGAUGGGUGGUGAUGAAUCGGGUGGAGGAAGAGGGGAGGAUUGAGAAGACAUGUUGAAGGGACGAGAUCGGAGUGGGGGAGGGUGAAGGUUUGUGGGUAUGAGGAGAGAGGAUUUGAGUGUGGUGGUGAGUCUGGUUGAGAUGUUUGAAAACAUGAUUCAUGAAAUGCAUGUUUUGAGAUGUUGAUUCGGUUUUUGUGGAGAAGAAUGGAAGAAUUCAUUCUCCAACCUUCUAAAAGUAUUAAUUUUAACA
rnacentral:lncRNA from 1 species